UACGUAGGGACCAAGCGUUGUUCGGAUUUACUGGGCGUAAAGGGCGCGUAGGCGGCGCGGUAAGUCACUUGUGAAAUCUCUGAGCUUAACUCAGAACGGCCAAGUGAUACUGCAGUGCUAGAGUGUGGAAGGGGCAAUCGGAAUUCUUGGUGUAGCGGUGAAAUGCGUAGAUAUCAAGAGGAACACCUGAGGUGAAGACGGGUUGCUGGGCUGACACUGACGCUGAAGCGCGAAAGCUAGGGGAGCAAACGGG
rnacentral:rRNA from 1 species